rnacentral:rRNA from 1 species
GUAUUGGACAACCAUGGCUUUUACGGGUAACGGAGAAUUAGGGUUCGAUUCCGGAGAGGGAGCCUGAGAAACGGCUACCACAUCUAAGGAAGGCAGCAGGCGCGUAAAUUACCCAAUCCUGAUUCAGGGAGGUAGUGACAAGAAAUAACGGACAGAGACCUUUGGUUUCUGGAUUGCAAUGAGCCGAAUUUACACCCCUUAGCGAGGACCAAUUGGAGGGCAAGUCUGGUGCCAGCAGCCGCCGUAAUUCCAGCUCCAAUAGCGUAUAUUAAAGUUGUUGCAGUUAAAAAGCUCGUAGUUGGAUUUCUGAGAAGUUGCCGAUGUCCGCUCUUAUGCGUGUGCAGAGGCGGCUUUUCAUCCUUCUGUUAACACUUCUCGGCAUUCAUUUGCUGGUUGUGGGCUCAGAUAUUUUACCUUGAGAAAAUUAGAGUGUUUCAGGCAGGCUAGGCCGGAAUACAUUAGCAUGGAAUAAUAGAAUAGGACUACGGUCUCUUUGUUGGUUUGAGGGACUGGAGUAAUGAUUAAUAGGGAUAGUUGGGGGCAUUAGUACUUAACUGUCAGAGGUGAAAUUCUCGGAUUUGUUAAAGACUAACUUAUGCGAAAGCAUUUGCCAAGGAUGUUUUCA